AGAAGGUUUUGAAUGGCACUCGAAAUGGCUUUCAUAAUUUUGAAGAACGGAGGAUUCCAGUUCCCUUCGAAGGUAGAGAAAAUGGUGAUGAUUGUUCAAGUGGAUCUUCUGUGACCGUUUCCAAUUCAAUGGAGGAAGGAGGCAGGACUUGCUCGCAAGAACCUUUUAUACAAAGCAUCAAUGCCUUUGCUUCUCCAAUCCCAUGUCUCCCUAGUGUUCCUUGGUCCUAUCCUUGGAAUUCUGCAUUGCCCCCUCCAGCUUUUUGUCCACCAGGAUUUCCUAUGUCAUUUUAUCCUCCCUUUUGGAAUUGUGCAAUUGCUGGUGGUUGGAACAUCCCUUUGUUGUCUUCGCCUUCAUCUUCUUCAUCAAAUCAAAAGGCUUCAUGUGGUCCUAAUUCUUCUUUGGGAAAGCACUCGAGAGAUGGGGACACGCUUAAAUCAGAUGAUUUGGAGAAAGAAGAGCAGCCAUCAAAGCAUAAAAAUGGAUGUGUUUUAGUUCCCAAAAUUCUAAGGAUUGAUGACCCAACUGAAGCUGCAAAAAGUUCUAUAUGGGCAACUCUUGGAAUCAAGAAUGAGUCCUUCCCUGGGGGAGGACCGUUCAAGGCCUUCCAACCAAAGACUGAUGACAAGAAACUUGUUUCUGAAGCCUCUCCGGUAUUGCUGGCAAACCCUGCUGCUUUGUCUCGAUCCAUCAACUUUCAUGAAAACUCUUGAAGUGGUGGCAUGUAGACCAUAAGAGCCAGGUUGAAUUCAACUCACUGGUAUGCGAUUGCUUCGCUUACUGUGAUCCUGAAUGGAUCAUUUUAAUCAUCGUUUCAUUGCAAACAAAGUUAGCAAGCUAACUGACUGAGACAAAAGAGUAGAGGGAAAAAUUUUGAGGAACGUCUAGUGUGACUAAUUUUCUUCUUGUGACAUACGAGCAGAUGCCUCUUGUUUUACUUGGGUUUGCGGG
rnacentral:misc_RNA from 1 species